rnacentral:rRNA from 1 species
GACGAACGCUGGCGGCGUGCCUAAUACAUGCAAGUCGAGCGGAAGUUGGAGAGCUUGCUCUUCAACUUUAGCGGCGGACGGGUGAGUAACACGUGGGCAACCUGCCCUGCAGAUCGGGAUAACUCCGGGAAACCGGUGCUAAUACCGAAUAGUUUUCGCCACCUCCUGGUGGCGUACGGAAAGACGGUUUCGGCUGUCACUGCAGGAUGGGCCCGCGGCGCAUUAGCUAGUUGGUGGGGUAACGGCCCACCAAGGCGACGAUGCGUAGCCGACCUGAGAGGGUGAUCGGCCAAACUGGGACUGAGACACGCCCCAGACUCCUACGGGAGGCAGCAGUAGGGAAUCUUCCGCAAUGGACGAAAGUCUGACGGAGCAACGCCGCGUGAGUGACGAAGGUUUUCGGAUCGUAAAACUCUGUUGUGAGGGAAGAACAAGUACCACUUAACUACUGGUACCUUGACGGUACCUCACCAGAAAGCCACGGCUAACUACGUGCCAGCAGCCGCCGUAA